rnacentral:lncRNA from 1 species
UUGGCAGAGGAGUAAGGAAGGAUGGAAGACAGCCCUUGAGAACUGCAGGAGGCAGGUGAGUCAAAGUGGAAACACAGCGGUUUCUGCCAUCCAUAAGCUCUCCGUGCACACACCAGGAAAGAAGUAUUACAGAACAGGUUACAGCAAUGAAGAAGGGCAGCUGGUGAGAUUAUGAUGACAGCUGGUGGCUCUGUGUGAUGGAUGGCUUGGGAAAUGACAAGACCUGGACAAGAAGAGCAGUCAGCAGAUUGUACCAGCAUUUUGGGCAAGUGGCUCAGAGAACCAAGAAGAGUUGGGUGCUAGGUGUAGCGAGGUGAACUAAGACCGUGCUUUGGGGGGUGACUGCAGUAGGCUGAAGAUUGGGCUGUGAGAAAGGCUUCAAUGGAAGAGACUAGAAGGCUCAAAGAGCCUUCACACUGAAGCUGUGCACACAUCUGGUUCUCUUCUCAACACUGCCUCCAUUCUAGAGGCAGUCACAUGGGAAAGAAGAGGUCUGUCCCUGGAGCCUGUGCUCAGAGUGACUCGGGAAUGAUGAGACCCAAGAAGACUAAAACUCAGGUUCUAUGAGUUACACAGAAGGGUGUGAUCCUCAGUUCCAGAGGAACUCUAGAAAUUCAUCCUGUAAAUCAAAAGAGGUCCAUCUAAAAAGCCUGCUGGACACCGGCUGCCUGUGGUUUGGAGGGACUCCAAAAAUAAAGAUGCUUUACAUUGCAAGCCACGGUGUGUUGGCUAGUGCUUGCCAACUUGACAGAAUCGAGAAUCACUUGAGAAAUGGGCAUCCACGGCAUACCUGUGGAAGACUCUCUUGAGUAUGUUAACUGAUGUGGACAGAUCCUCUUAGUAGUGGGCAGGAGCACUCCUGAGGCAGGGGGAUCCUGGACAGGAGGAGGUGGAGGAAGGCAACAGAAUACUAGCAGCAUGCAUUUAGAGCCAUGCUUCCUGACUGCAGCUAUGGUAUGCCCAGCAUGCAUUUAGAGCCAUGCUUCCCGACUGCAGCUAUGGUAUGCCCAGCAUGCAUUUAAAGCCAUGCUUCCUGACUGCAGCUAUGGUAUGCCCAGCAUGCAUUUAGAGCCAUGCUUCCCGACUGCAGCUAUGGUAUGCCCAGCUCCCUCAAGUUCCUGCUGGUGUGGCUUCCCUGGACUAAAUAAACCUGUUCUCCUAGAAGUUGCUUUUGUUUCAGUAUUUUAUCAGA